AAAAUGCUGUGUCCCAUCCGGCUCGAAGGACCAAGAAAUGUCAGGAGUUUUCCUGUUAUGCAACUCAGUAUAUUGUCUGCUGCAACAACACUGGCCACAUGCCUGAUGUAACUUUCCACAUCCAUAGACAGCAGCUGACUCCUGCUUGGCCUCCAGCUUGCUUAAGUGUCUCAGGUAAGUGUUUCCUUCCUAAUUUAAUUUUUAUUUUUUAAAUUCUCUAUACAUUGCCUAAAUCUCCCUCCUUGUCUCACGACAAUGGUUGUGUCACUGGCUGAGUGCUACCGCUAGCAUUUCAUCACUGCACACAAACUCUAGAUAGUCACUGACAAGCACUGCUGAAGUAUCUGAUGGAAACAGAGGAUUGCAUUGAUGAGCCCUGACCUGUCAAGGUUGGACAUCCAUAAGAUGUAAAAG
ensembl:lncRNA